UACAGGGGGUGCAAACGUUGCUCGGAAUUAUUGGGCGUAAAGCGCGCGUAGGCGGCCACUUAAGUCGGAUGUGAAAGCCCCUGGCUCAACUGGGGAAGUGCACCCGAAACUGAAUGGCUUGAAUGCAAAAGAGGGUCGCGGAAUUCCCGGUGUAGAGGUGAAAUUCGUAGAUAUCGGGAGGAACACCGGUGGCGAAGGCGGCGACCUGGGUUGACAUUGACGCUGAGGCGCGAAAGCGUGGGGAGCAAACCGG
rnacentral:rRNA from 1 species